rnacentral:lncRNA from 1 species
GUCACACAAAAAUUAUACUGUGCUCUGACUGUAACUCAAAUAACCUGUCAAUAGAUAUGGAAUUAGCAUUACAGAUGAAUCAUAUAUAGGGAAAUCAUUUCUAAGGGCAGGGGCAGUUUACAAUAACCUGUUAUCCUUGGCAUUAAAAUAAAGCAAGAGCACUCAGAACCCUCAGGUCAGUGGUGGUAACUGUUGCAUAGGGGGUGAUGAUUGGUCAAGCCACCUGAAUAACAUCACCAUUUCUCAUUUGAGUAAACCCAGCAUGGGUCACAGACAGCAGAACAUUUUAUGAAGCUUCAUAAGCCAGCAUGGUACAAAUUCUCCAAGGAUUUUUCCUGCUAUCCCCAAGAAAGUAGUGAGAAGUAAUUCUGUUACCUGAGAGAAGAGAAAAAGAAGCUUUAGUACUAAUUCAAGCUGCUGCACUUACUUUAGUUGAGGCAAACUGCUCUACUGAAUUUCCUGGAAAGAGUUCGUUUUACUGUUUCCAAAGGAGACCUGAACCAUGCAGAAUCGUCUGUAGAACAGAAAAUGGUAAGCACUGUGCUUGUUUUGAUUCAAUCCAAAGUUAUGAAAUUAUGAACUCCAUUACAAAAAAAGAUAGAAAAAUCAUGUCAUAUGUACUAAAACAGAAAGACUCCUCUGAAACAGAAGGAAUACAGAAGAAACAAAAUAUGUGACAG